UCAAGUGGUGCAUAUUCAAGGUAAUAUUUAUGAAACACUUGGGAUAGGUAAGUCAAUUCCAUUUCUCACAUCAUUAGAUUAUGUGGCUUUCGCGAUAAAGCCACCUUUUAAUGAUCCACCACGGCCUAAAAUGGUGGAUUAUUCGCUAACAAAGCCUCCUUGAAAAAUGAGGUGAAAUAGUCAAGCUAUUGACUAUAAAGAAGCGCUUAUUGGGAG
rnacentral:lncRNA from 1 species